CUACGUGCCAGCAGCCGCGGUAAUACGGAAGGUCCAGGCGUUAUCCGGAUUUAUUGGGUUUAAAGGGAGCGUAGGCUGGAGAUUAAGUGUGUUGUGAAAUGUAGACGCUCAACGUCUGACUUGCAGCGCAUACUGGUUUCCUUGAGUACGCACAACGUUGGCGGAAUUCGUCGUGUAGCGGUGAAAUGCUUAGAUAUGACGAAGAACUCCGAUCGCGAAGGCAGCUUUCCGUUUCGGAACUGACGCUGAGGCUCGAAAGUGCGGGUAUCGAACAGGAUUAGAUACCCUGGUAGUCCGCACGGUAAACGAUGGAUGCUCGCUGUUGGAUAUUUUUAUUCAGUGGCUAAGUGAAAACGUUAAGCAUCCCACCUGGGGAGUACGCCGGCAACGGUGAAACUCAAAGGAAUUGACGGGGGCCCGCACAAGCGGAGGAACAUGUGGUUUAAUUCGAUGAUACGCGAGGAACCUUACCCGGGCUUGAAUUGCAGAGGAAGGAUUUAGAGAUA
rnacentral:rRNA from 1 species